rnacentral:tRNA from 1 species
GAGGAUAUAGCUCAGUGGUAGAGUGCGUGCCUAGCAUACACAAAGCCCUGGGUUCAAUCCCCAGUAGCUCCA